rnacentral:rRNA from 1 species
GACAGAGGGUGCAAACGUUGUUCGGAAUCAUUGGGCGUAAAGAGCGUGUAGGCGGCCCGGUAAGUCCGCUGUGAAAGUCGGGGGCUCAACCCUCGAAUGCCGGUGGAUACUGUCGGGCUAGAGUGCGGAAGAGGCGAGUGGAAUUCCUGGUGUAGCGGUGAAAUGCGCAGAUAUCAGGAGGAACACCGAUUGCGAAGGCAGCUCGCUGGGACGUCACUGACGCUGAGACGCGAAAGCGUGGGGAGCAAACAGG